UCGAUCUCAAAUCAGGUAGGACUACCCGCUGAACUUAAGCAUAUCAAUAAGCGGAGGAAAAGAAACUAACAAGGAUUCCCCUAGUAACUGCGAGUGAAGCGGGAAGAGCUCAAAUUUAAAAUCUGGCGUGCCUCUGGUCGUCCGAGUUGUAGUCUAGAGAAGUGUUUUCCGUGUUGGACCGUGUAUAAGUCUCUUGGAACAGAGCGUCAUAGAGGGUGAGAAUCCCGUCUUUGACACGGACUACCAAUGCUUUGUGAUACACUCUCAAAGAGUCGAG
rnacentral:rRNA from 1 species